UGCAUCUUCUUCAGACCUUCAUGAAAGUCGAUGACAUCAAUAGAUAUGAGUCCCUUUGAUUUGAAACCUAGGGCUAUGUUUAUAUCUUUAGCUUUGAGUUUAAUUUGUUCCCCUUUGACCCUUGUAGUGAUAAUGAACCUCUUGAGUCUUCUUAAUAGCAUUGCAAUAUCCUCGUCAUCGUCUUCCUCUGAGUCAGAGUCAUUUUCAGUAUGAGCUUUGGAUAUGGUAUCUGUUUCUUUGAGAGCAACUCCUUUGUCCUUCUUUCUUCCUUCAGAUAGAGUCUCUGCUCACUGAGUCAGCUCUAGUUCAUAGGUAAGAAUAUUUCUAUAGAGUUAUUGAACAAUCAUUUCAUGGAUAUUUUUUGGUUCUCUGAUGGCAGUGGUUUUGGCAUCCCACUUACUUGGUAAAGCUCUCAUGAACUUUAUGAUAAUAUCUUUG
rnacentral:lncRNA from 1 species